rnacentral:rRNA from 1 species
AGUCGAGCGAGUCUGCCUUGAAGAUCGGAGUGCUUGCACUCUGUGAAACAAGAUACAGGCUAGCGGCGGACGGGUGAGUAACACGUGGGUGACCUGCCCAAGAGAUCGGGAUAACACCUGGAAACAGAUGCUAAUACCGGAUAACAACAGAUGAUGCCUAUCAACUGUUUAAAAGAUGGUUCUGCUAUCACUCUUGGAUGGACCUGCGGUGCAUUAGCUAGUUGGUAGGGUAACGGCCUACCAAGGCGAUGAUGCAUAGCCGAGUUGAGAGACUGAUCGGCCACAUUGGGACUGAGACACGGCCCAAACUCCUACGGGAGGCAGCAGUAGGGAAUCUUCCACAAUGGACGCAAGUCUGAUGGAGCAACGCCGCGUGAGUGAAGAAGGGCUUCGGCUCGUAAAGCUCUGUUGUUGGUGAAGAAGGACAGGGGUAGUAACUGACCUUUGUUUGACGGUAAUCAAUUAGAAAGUCACGGCUAACUACGUGCCAGCAGCCGCGGUAAUACGUAGGUGGCAAGCGUUGUCCGGAUUUAUUGGGCGUAAAGCGAGUGCAGGCGGCUCGAUAAGUCUGAUGUGAAAGCCUUCGGCUCAACCGGAGAAUUGCAUCAGAAACUGUCGAGCUUGAGUACAGAAGAGGAGAGUGGAACUCCAUGUGUAGCGGUGAAAUGCGUAGAUAUAUGGAAGAACACCGGUGGCGAAGGCGGCUCUCCGGUCUGUUACUGACGCUGAGGCUCGAAAGCAUGGGUAGCGAACAGGAUUAGAUACCCUGGUAGUCCAUGCCGUAAACGAUGAGUGCUAAGUGUUGGGAGGUUUCCGCCUCUCAGUGCUGCAGCUAACGCAUUAAGCACUCCGCCUGGG